CAGCCGCCACGGGAAUACGUAGGGUGCGAGCGUUAAUCGGAAUCACUGGGCGUAAAGCGUGCGCAGGCGGUUUUGUAAGACAGGCGUGAAAUCCCCGGGCUCAACCUGGGAAUGGCGCUUGUGACUGCAAAGCUAGAGUGCGGCAGAGGGGGAUGGAAUUCCGCGUGUAGCAGUGAAAUGCGUAGAUAUGCGGAGGAACACCGAUGGCGAAGGCAAUCCCCUGGGCCUGCACUGACGCUCAUGCACGAAAGCGUGGGGAGCAAACAGGAUUAGAUACCCGAGUAGUCCCUGUCUCUUAUAC
rnacentral:rRNA from 1 species